rnacentral:rRNA from 1 species
UUACGCCAAGCUAUUUAGGUGACACUAUAGAAUACUCAAGCUAUGCAUCCAACGCGUUGGGAGCUCUCCCAUAUGGUCGACCUGCAGGCGGCCGCACUAGUGAUUGUAGUCAUAUCUUGUCUCAAAGAUUAAGCCAUGCAUGUCUAAGUUUAAGCAAUAAACGGUGAAACUGCGAAUGGCUCAUUAAAUCAGUCAUAGUUUAUUUGAUGGUACCCUACUACAUGGAUAACUGUGGUAAUUCUAGAGCUAAUACAUGCUGAAAAAUCCCGACUUCUGGAAGGGAUGUAUUUAUUAUAUCCAAAACCAAUGGCCUUCGGGUCCCUAUGGUGAAUCAUGAUAACUGCUCGAAUCGCAUGGCCUUGCGCCGGCGAUGCUUCAUUCAAGUAUCUGCCCUAUCAACUUUCGAUG